GAAACACGGNUUUUCCUUCGGGACACCAUCACAGGUGGUGCAUGGCUGUCGUCAGCUCGUGUCGUGAGAUGUUGGGUUAAGUCCCGCAACGAGCGCAACCCUUGUCAUUAGUUGCUACGAAAGAGCACUCUAAUGAGACUGCCGGUGACAAACCGGAGGAAGGUGGGGAUGACGUCAAGUCCUCAUGGCCCUUAUGGGUAGGGCUUCACACGUCAUACAAUGGUACAUACAGAGGGCCGCCAACCCGCGAGGGGGAGCUAAUCCCAGAAAGUGUAUCGUAGUCCGGAUUGUAGUCUGCAACUCGACUGCAUGAAGUUGGAAUCGCUAGUAAUCGCGGAUCAGCAUGUCGCGGUGAAUACGUUCCCGGGUCUUGUACACACCGCCCGUCACACCAUGGGAGCGGGUUUUACCAGAAGUAGGUAGCUUAACCGCAAGGAGGGCGCUUACCACGGUAGGAUUCGUGACUGGGGUGAAGUCGUAACAAGGUAGCCGU
rnacentral:rRNA from 1 species